rnacentral:rRNA from 1 species
UAAUACGGAGGGUGCGAGCGUUGUCCGGAUUUAUUGGGUUUAAAGGGUGCGUAGGUGGCUUUUUAAGUCAGUGGUGAAAUACAGCCGCUCAACGGUUGAGGUGCCAUUGAUACUGAAGAGCUUGAAACAAGUGGAGGUUGCCGGAAUGGAUGGUGUAGCGGUGAAAUGCAUAGAUAUCAUCCAGAACACCGAUUGCGAAGGCAGGUGACUACGUUUGAUUUGACACUGAGGCACGAAAGCAUGGGGAGCAAACAGGAUUAGAUACCCUGGUAGUCCAUGCCGUAAACGAUGAGGACUCGCUGUUGGCCUGUCAAGGGUCAGCGGCUUAGGGAAACCGUUAAGUCCUCCACCUGGGGAGUACGCCGGCAACGGUG